rnacentral:rRNA from 1 species
UACAGAGGUCUCAAGCGUUGUUCGGAUUCAUUGGGCGUAAAGGGUGCGUAGGCGGCGCGGUAAGUCGGGUGUGAAAUCUCGGAGCUUAACUCCGAAACUGCAUUCGAUACUGCCGUGCUUGAGGACUGGAGAGGAGACUGGAAUUUACGGUGUAGCGGUGAAAUGCGUAGAUAUCAGGAGGAACACCGAUGGCGAAGGCAGGUCUCUGGGCAUUAACUGACGCUGAGGAGCGAAAAGCAUGGGGGAGCGAACAGG